AGAGUUUGAUCAUGGCUCAGGAUGAACGCUGGCGGCGUGCUUAACACAUGCAAGUCGAACGAACCUUCGGGUUAGUGGCGGACGGGUGAGUAACGCGUGGGAAUCUGCCCUCAGGAGGGGGAUAACGGUUGGAAGCGGCCGCUAAUACCCCAUAUGCCGCGAGGUGAAAUGAAUUUCGCCUGAGGAUGAGCCCGCGUCUGAUUAGCUAGUUGGUGGGGUAAGAGCCUACCAAGGCGACGAUCAGUAGCUGGUCUGAGAGGAUGAUCAGCCACACUGGGACUGAGACACGGCCCAGACUCCUACGGGAGGCAGCAGUGGGGAAUUUUCCGCAAUGGGCGAAAGCCUGACGGAGCAACGCCGCGUGAGGGAUGAAGGCCUCUGGGCUGUAAACCUCCUUUCUCAAGGAGGAAGACCUGACGGUACUUGAGGAAUAAGCCACGGCCAAUUCCGUGCCAGCAGCCGCGGUAAUACGGGAGUGGCAAGCGUUAUCCGGAAUUAUUGGGCGUAAAGCGUCCGCAGGCGGCCUUGUAAGUCUGUCGUUAAAGCGUGGAGCUCAACUCCAUUUAGGCGAUGGAAACUACAAGGCUGGAGUGUGGUAGGGGCAGAGGGAAUUCCCGGUGUAGCGGUGAAAUGCGUAGAUAUCGGGAAGAACACCAGUGGCGAAGGCGCUCUGCUGGGCCAUAACUGACGCUCAUGGACGAAAGCCAGGGGAGCGAAAGGGAUUAGAUACCCCUGUAGUCCUGGCCGUAAACGAUGAACACUAGGUGUCGGGGGAAUCGACCCCCUCGGUGUCGUAGCCAACGCGUUAAGUGUUCCGCCUGGGGAGUACGCACGCAAGUGUGAAACUCAAAGGAAUUGACGGGGGCCCGCACAAGCGGUGGAGUAUGUGGUUUAAUUCGAUGCAACGCGAAGAACCUUACCAGGGUUUGACAUCCUGCGAAUCCCUUGGAAACGAGGGAGUGCCUUCGGGAGCGCAGAGACAGGUGGUGCAUGGCUGUCGUCAGCUCGUGUCGUGAGAUGUUGGGUUAAGUCCCGCAACGAGCGCAACCCACGUCGUUAGUUGCCAGCAUUCAGUUGGGCACUCUAGCGAGACCGCCGGUGAUAAACCGGAGGAAGGUGUGGAUGACGUCAAGUCAUCAUGCCCCUUACAUCCUGGGCUACACACGUACUACAAUGCUACGGACAAAGGGCAGCGAACUCGCGAGGGUAAGCAAAUCCCAUAAACCGUGGCUCAGUUCAGAUCGUAGGCUGCAACUCGCCUACGUGAAGGAGGAAUCGCUAGUAAUCGCAGGUCAGCAUACUGCGGUGAAUACGUUCCCGGGCCUUGUACACACCGCCCGUCACACCAUGGAAGUUGGCCAUGCCCGAAGUCGUUACUCCAACCCUUGUGGAGGAGGACGCCGAAGGUGGGGCUGAUGACUGGGGUGAAGUCGUAACAAGGUAACC
rnacentral:rRNA from 1 species